rnacentral:rRNA from 1 species
UACAGAGGAUGCAAGCGUUAUCCGGAAUUACUGGGCGUAAAGGGCUCGUAGGCGGCCAACUAAGUCGGAUGUGAAAUCCCCAGGCUUAACCUGGGAACUGCAUCCGAUACUGGUUGGCUUGAAUCCGGGAGAGGGAUGCGGAAUUCCAGGUGUAGCGGUGAAAUGCGUAGAUAUCGGGAGGAACACCUGUGGCGAAAGCGGCUCACUGGACCACAACUGACGCUGAGGCGCGAAAGCUAGGGGAGCAAACAGG